CCUCAUCUAAUUGCCUUGUCAUUAUUAAACAGAGAAUUCAGACUUUUCAGAGAUGAAGAAAAUAUGGGAGCUAUUAAUCAGUAUAGAACAAGAACUCUUGAGUAUUACUUCUUCAGGUAGUGUUGUUAAGUUGUUCAACAAUUCUCUGGAACUGGUGAAACAGAAGGGGAAAUGUCAGUUGACAAAACAGCAAAACUCAGCCGUCAGACAUCAACUGCAGAAAGAAGAGGCAAAUACACUUACCAAGCAAUGGAGGGAAAACAUGCAAAAUAUUAAGUCAAGUUUGGAAGCAACUAGCUUUUGGGGAGAAUGA
rnacentral:lncRNA from 1 species